rnacentral:rRNA from 1 species
ACGGCUCAGUAACACGUAGCUAACCUACCCUCGGGUCAAGGAUACCCCCGGGAAACUGGGGCUAAUCCCUGAUAGGCGUGGAGGCCUGGAAUGGUUCCACACCCAAACGCAUGACAGUCAUGUUUGUCAUGUGCCCGAGGAUGGGGCUGCGGCCGAUCAGGCAGUUGGCGAGGUAACGGCUCACCAAACCUUUGACCGGUACGGGCCAUGAAAGUGGUAGCCCGGAGAUGGGCACUGAGACAGGGGCCCAGGCCCUACGGGGCGCAGCAGGCGCGAAAACUCCACAAUGUACGGAAGUACGAUGGGGUUAUCUCGAGUGCAGUCCGAUAAGGGCUGCUUUUCCAUAGAGUAAUAUCCUGUGGGAAUAAGAGGGGGGCAAGACUGGUGUCAGCCGCCGCGGUAACACCAGCCCCUCGAGUGGUAGGGACUUUUAUUUGGCCUAAAGCGUCCGUAGCUGGCUGUAUCCGUUUCCCGGCAAAUCCGGCGUCUUAAGCGUCGGGCUUCGGGUAAUACCAUACAGCUUGAGGGUGGGAUAGGUGAGCGGUAUUUCUGGGGUAGGGGCGAAAUCCUUUGAUCCCAGGAGGACCACCAGUGGCGAAGGCUGCUCACUAGAACACGCCUGACGGUCAGGGACGAAAGCUGGGGCAGCGAACCGGAUUAGAUACCCGGGUAGUCCCAGCUGUAAACGAUGCUAGCUAGGUGUUUGGGUCGGCCACGCGCCGCCCCAGUGCCGCAGAGAAGCCGUUAAGCUAGCCGCCUGGGGAGUACGGCCGCAAGGCUGAAACUUAAAGGAAUUGGCGGGGGAGCAC